ACGCUUCUUUUUCCACCGGAGCUUGCUCCACCGGAAAAAGAAGAGUGGCGAACGGGUGAGUAACACGUGGGUAACCUGCCCAUCAGAAGGGGAUAACACUUGGAAACAGGUGCUAAUACCGUAUAACAAUCGAAACCGCAUGGUUUUGAUUUGAAAGGCGCUUUCGGGUGUCGCUGAUGGAUGGACCCGCGGUGCAUUAGCUAGUUGGUGAGGUAACGGCUCACCAAGGCCACGAUGCAUAGCCGACCUGAGAGGGUGAUCGGCCACAUUGGGACUGAGACACGGCCCAAACUCCUACGGGAGGCAGCAGUAGGGAAUCUUCGGCAAUGGACGAAAGUCUGACCGAGCAACGCCGCGUGAGUGAAGAAGGUUUUCGGAUCGUAAAACUCUGUUGUUAGAGAAGAACAAGGAUGAGAGUAACUGUUCAUCCCUUGACGGUAUCUAACCAGAAAGCCACGGCUAACUACGUGCCAGCAGCCGCGGUAAUACGUAGGUGGCAAGCGUUGUCCGGAUUUAUUGGGCGUAAAGCGAGCGCAGGCGGUUUCUUAAGUCUGAUGUGAAAGCCCCCGGCUCAACCGGGGAGGGUCAUUGGAAACUGGGAGACUUGAGUGCAGAAGAGGAGAGUGGAAUUCCAUGUGUAGCGGUGAAAUGCGUAGAUAUAUGGAGGAACACCAGUGGCGAAGGCGGCUCUCUGGUCUGUAACUGACGCUGAGGCUCGAAAGCGUGGGGAGCAAACAGGAUUAGAUACCCUGGUAGUCCACGCCGUAAACGAUGAGUGCUAAGUGUUGGAGGGUUUCCGCCCUUCAGUGCUGCAGCUAACGCAUUAAGCACUCCGCCUGGGGAGUACGACCGCAAGGUUGAAACUCAAAGGAAUUGACGGGGGCCCGCACAAGCGGUGGAGCAUGUGGUUUAAUUCGAAGCAACGCGAAGAACCUUACCAGGUCUUGACAUCCUUUGACCACUCUAGAGAUAGAGCUUCCCCUUCGGGGGCAAAGUGACAGGUGGUGCAUGGUUGUCGUCAGCUCGUGUCGUGAGAUGUUGGGUUAAGUCCCGCAACGAGCGCAACCCUUAUUGUUAGUUGCCAUCAUUUAGUUGGGCACUCUAGCAAGACUGCCGGUGACAAACCGGAGGAAGGUGGGGAUGACGUCAAAUCAUCAUGCCCCUUAUGACCUGGGCUACACACGUGCUACAAUGGGAAGUACAACGAGUCGCGAAGUCGCGAGGCUAAGCUAAUCUCUUAAAGCUUCUCUCAGUUCGGAUUGUAGGCUGCAACUCGCCUACAUGAAGCCGGAAUCGCUAGUAAUCGCGGAUCAGCACGCCGCGGUGAAUACGUUCCCGGGCCUUGUACACACCGCCCGUCACACCACGAGAGUUUGUAACACCCGAAGUCGGUGAG
rnacentral:rRNA from 1 species